AGAGCAACAUGUCCAGGCCUGCUAAAUAUUUACAAGCAUAGACUGAAGAAGUGUGAAGCAUACUGAAGUGAUGUGUGUGUGUUCCACAGCAAUAAAUUAUGGAAAGAAAAGCAGAGCACUACAGUGACUUGCACAGGCCAAGAUGUCUCAAGUUGUACAUUCAAAAAGAAGUGAUGGGUGACAGGCUUUUACUAGCAACUUGUGAAGAAAAAUCAGGUAGCUAGAGCAGAGACCAGAUGCUGCGAUUGAUGCAAACAGAGAUAGACGUUUUACAAUUGAAAUGAUAGACUCUGAUAUUUGCAUGUAUUGUUUUGUAUGAUGAACUUUGUCCGUGCAAGUGGCUAUGCCCGUAAAAGAGGCACACUUUUGCUUAUUGUGUUUGUUAUCUUUCAAUAUAUAAAGUAAUGGUAAAGGUCUCCGAGAUGAAGGUUUAGUGUUGUUUGUCUGUAUUAUAAGAGUCUAGUAGCCUGACUUGUCUGUCCGCUAUCAAUACUUUGCCAGCUUGUUUGCUAAGUAUGCUAUCCCAAUGAAAUGUUAAGAGACACUGGCAUUCACCAGUGUGAGUAAACAUGUUCACUCAUGCUGGUAGUGCCUUUGCUUAUUAUGUGUACUUGGCAGACCGGUAUGGUAUAUCACAUCUCGGAGAUCAAGCAAGGGUCGUUGGUAAAGGUAAAAUGAGACGUGUUAUACUAUUUAACUAUACUUAUGAGAUACUUUAUAAGGUAGAUGGUCCUUCAAAAUUUCAACACUUUGAACAACAAAAUUCUUGAUUUCUGACUGAUCAUUUUUCUUGAACGUCUCAUUUUAUCUUUGUCACUGUGUCCUUUAUAUCCAACCACAGGCGACUGCAUAGAAAUUGCAGUCAAAUCUCUGGUACUCUUGGUAUUGAAAAUAUAUAGCAUUUACAAAGUAUAGUCUCAUGCGAUAACUUGAACAUUAUGUAAAACCAUUACAAAAUCCUAGAGAUGUCUCUUAUCAAACUAUCAAGUAAGCUGUAAUGCAAAAUCAUUACAAGACUAGUAUCAAGCUAUCGGAAUGUCAAAACAUGACCAUAAGGCUAUAUCAGAGAUUUGAAAUGCUUUUCGAUGCAAUAGUAUGAUGUUGGAAAUUUAUCCUACAUCCAACCGUAAUCCUACAUGAUGGUAUAAUUGUAUCAUAGUCCUUACCUGAUGUUGAGCAUUUUUUCCUCCCUUGUUUGGAUUUCUGAUCGGCAUGGGUUAAGUGUAAUGCUGGUUGUAAUGACCCAACUCUAUAUUUGGCGAGGCAGCGAAGCCGGUACAGGGAAUUGCUUAACCCGACGCUGCGAGGAUUCAUGGACAGGGAUUAAAUGCUCUUGCCCCGCCAAAGGGAAGCACGACGUUCCUCUAAUGAGAUGUGCGAAUACACUCUUUGGUUGCCUAACUGUCCGGACGCCGCAGUUAGAUGUACGGGGAAGGGCAUCGAAUGUCUAUCCAUGCUACCGAUCCCUAACAUUGUUUGAUCUGGCAAUGAAAUCAUAUUACACUAUAUAAUGUUGGAAUUUUGUCCUGAUGCGUCACAGGAUAGUAAUUAUUUUUCUCACUAUCCUGUUGCUAAAUCAGUAGGAAAACAAACAACAUGAUAAUGGAAUUUUGUCCCGAUGCAUUUUUUCUCCUACAAUCCGUGAAAUUGCCAUCAAUGCAAAAGGUCACUAUGCUUUUCUCCUAAUACCCUUCAGUAGGAUAAAACAACAUGAUGCAUAACAUGAUGUUGAACAUUUUCUCCUACAUUGUUUUCAUCAAACGUACGUAGUCUUUAGCAUCUGGUAGGAGAAACUUCUCCUGGAUGUCAAAGUAAUUGUAUCCUUGUAUGCCCAUUGCCUUUGCAUUACAGAACAAAUUUGACAAAACAGUCAAGCUGAUACAUGAUAGCGUCAGAUAUGAUUUUGUCCUCCUAUUACAACAUGAUGAUACAUUUGGAAUGUCAAAUGUAUUGCAUUGAACCCAGCCUUUAGGAUCUGAUAGGAGAAACUUCUCCUGAAUGAGAAAGCAAUUGUAUCCUUGUAUGUCCAUUACCUUUG